rnacentral:rRNA from 1 species
GUCUGCAGCCGUACCACCCUCAACGCACCUGAUCUCGUCUGAUCUCGGAAGCUGGAAGCUAAGCAGGGUUGGGCCUGCUUAGUACUUUGAUGGAGACAGAUCUUCAGAAGAGACUGCUCAGAGA